rnacentral:rRNA from 1 species
UAGUCAUAUGCUUGUCUCAAAGAUUAAGCCAUGCAUGUCUCAGUGUAAACUUUUAAACAGUGAAACUGCGAAUGGCUCAUUAAAACAGUUAUAGUUUAUUUGAUAAUCAUUUUUACAUGGAUAACCGUGGGAAUUCUAGGGCUAAUACAUGCGUAAACCCUUCGGGGAUGUGUUUAUUAGAUAAAAACGAACGCUGUGGUAAAACACAGUAAUGUUGGAAUGAUAAUAACCGAUCGAAUCGCAUACUUAUGUAGCGAUGAAUCAUUCAAGUUUCUGA